rnacentral:sRNA from 1 species
AUAUUGCUGUGCAGGAGAAGGUCGAGAACCUUCGACAAGGUUCGAGUCGAGCGCAAGCGAGACAGCGUUGCCAUAGGCAACGACCCGCAGGGCAAGGUGCGUAGCACCGCGUAAUCCUUCUCCCACCACCA